rnacentral:rRNA from 1 species
GAAUGCUGACAUAAGUAACGAUAAAGCGGGUGAAAAGCCCGCUCGCCGGAAGACCAAGGGUUCCUGUCCAACGUUAAUCGGGGCAGGGUGAGUCGACCCCUAAGGCGAGGCCGAAAGGCGUAGUCGAUGGGAAACGGGUUAAUAUUCCCGUACUUGGUGUUACUGCGAAGGGGGGACGGAGAAGGCUAUGUUGGCCGGGCGACGGUUGUCCCGGUUUAAGCGUGUAGGUGUGUGUUCCAGGUAAAUCCGGUUCACUUUAACACUGAGGCGUGACGACGAGGCACUACGGUGCUGAAGCAACAAAUGCCCUGCUUCCAGGAAAAGCCUCUAAGCAUCAGGUAACAUCAAAUCGUACCCCAAACCGACACAGGUGGUCAGGUAGAGAAUACCAAGGCGCUUGAGAGAACUCGGGUGAAGGAACUAGGCAAAAUGGUGCCGUAACUUCGGGAGAAGGCACGCUGACACGUAGGUGAAGUGAUUUACUCAUGGAGCUGAAGUCAGUCGAAGAUACCAGCUGGCUGCAACUGUUUAUUAAAAACACAGCACUGUGCAAACACGAAAGUGGACGUAUACGGUGUGACGCCUGCCCGGUGCCGGAAGGUUAAUUGAUGGGGUCAGCGCAAGCGAAGCUCCUGAUCGAAGCCCCGGUAAACGGCGGCCGUAACUAUAACGGUCCUAAGGUAGCGAAAUUCCUUGUCGGGUAAGUUCCGACCUGCACGAAUGGCGUAAUGAUGGCCAGGCUGUCUCCACCCGAGACUCAGUGAAAUUGAACUCGCUGUGAAGAUGCAGUGUACCCGCGGCAAGACGGAAAGACCCCGUGAACCUUUACUAUAGCUUGACACUGAACAUUGAGCCUUGAUGUGUAGGAUAGGUGGGAGGCUUUGAAGUGUGGACGCCAGUCUGCAUGGAGCCGACCUUGAAAUACCACCCUUUAAUGUUUGAUGUUCUAACGUGGACCCGUAAUCCGGGUUGCGGACAGUGUCUGGUGGGUAGUUUGACUGGGGCGGUCUCCUCCUAAAGAGUAACGGAGGAGCACGAAGGUUGGCUAAUCCUGGUCGGACAUCAGGAGGUUAGUGCAAUGGCAUAAGCCAGCUUGACUGCGAGCGUGACGGCGCGAGCAGGUGCGAAAGCAGGUCAUAGUGAUCCGGUGGUUCUGAAUGGAAGGGCCAUCGCUCAACGGAUAAAAGGUACUCCGGGGAUAACAGGCUGAUACCGCCCAAGAGUUCAUAUCGACGGCGGUGUUUGGCACCUCGAUGUCGGCUCAUCACAUCCUGGGGCUGAAGUAGGUCCCAAGGGUAUGGCUGUUCGCCAUUUAAAGUGGUACGCGAGCUGGGUUUAGAACGUCGUGAGACAGUUCGGUCCCUAUCUGCCGUGGGCGCUGGAGAACUGAGGGGGGCUGCUCCUAGUACGAGAGGACCGGAGUGGACGCAUCACUGGUGUUCGGGUUGUCAUGCC